ensembl:lncRNA
CCCCCUGCUGGUCACUACACAGAAGUAGAGUCAUUUCCUCAUGGACGUCUAUGGGAGCAGAGGAGUCGCCCCCUGCUGGUCACCUGCUAGUAGUAUGGAUGUAUGGCCACGUGAGAAUUCGCCGAUGGAGCCUGUUGGGCUCCGCGUCCUCCCUCCAUCGCUAACUAUGGUAACAAACACAGUACUUUAACCCCAACGACGCUUGUCCGCUAAACCAACAAAGUACGUUUGUUGCUGGUGGCUCACGACUACGAGGAUUACGCACUAAUCCUUGUGUGGGAAUUACAGACUCUCGUUUCUAUUCGUUCUGGAUAAGAACCUUCUGGAAUGAGCAGAGUACAAGUCGGAUUGUCCAGGACUGACCACACGGGAUGAGCUCUACCACGGCUCCUUGUCCUCCUCCUCAGGAGCCUCGGGCUCAGCAGGAGAGCAAAUAGCAGCGAGACCUUCUCUUCUCCCUGGUGCCACUGCUCUGUUUCCCUUGUCUUCAGACUUUCAGGAAUCAGGAAACAUUUAUUGGCAAAAUAUGUUAAACAUACAAGGAAUUUGACUUUGCGGUUGGUGCGUGACAGUAGACAGUGUGACAAUAGACAACAAGACAGCAGCGCACAAGUAAUAAAAUAAAAUGAAUGAGUCGAGUAGGAAUCCAUCAGGAUUAAGGGACAUUUAAAAUCCCUCACUCUUUACCCCCUGCAGUGAGUCAACGCCGUCACGCUGUAACGUGUGUGUGUGUGUGUGGACCACCGAGCUCUACCGCAGCUCCGAGUGAUGAAAUACAUCUUUACCCUUUAUAUGAAUCAUCUCAAAUGCCUUUAGAUUUAAAAAAUAUUCAUUUUUAUUUUGUAAUCGUGUUUUAAUUGUCUUUGAACCAAUUGGAUGUCAGUGAUUAUGUUGCUGUCAAGGUGCCUCUCUUUACUUAACGGCAUGUUCCCGGACUUGAUGGUGAUUGGUACCUGAAUGCACCAUUAAGCAGGAGCAUCUGAAGGAGUGGUGCCUUCAGGUGCUCCUCGUGUAAUCGGGGAAGUCCUCCGCUUUAUUUUUGAAUCACGGAACCUUUUUCUUAAGGGGGAAAAAGAAGAAAUAACCGUGAAACCAGUAGAUUGUUAUUAUUAUUCAUUUAUUUGUAUUAUUAAUAAUAAUAAUAAUAAUAAUAAUAAUAAUAACAGCACCAGCUUGUUCUGCGGUGAAUUCUGGACCUGUAAAGACCCACCUGACCCCCGCGGCUCCAGACCUCCUCCCCUCGUGUGUGUGUGUGUGUGUCUGUGUGUGUUGUACAGCAGCUGUACCAUUAUUACACCUCUGGGGGGGGGGGGGCGUGAUUAUCAAUCUGCAGAAAGGGAGCGUGGGCCGGGCGAGGGGUCCGCAGUGUGAAGCCGUUGACAGGUCAAUUAUUCCACCGGCUGAACUACAGCGUGUAAUAUGUGAGCCCCCCAGGGUUAAAACACGCCACCUCCUAUGUACACAACCCCCCCUCGAGGUUCACCCCCGGAAACAGCCGUGUCACGCUGCUGCACAUGAUGAGGGCUGCGGGCAGAGGGUCAAAGGUCGGGGCAGGGGGGGGGGGCUCAGGGGUGAAUGAAGUUUCAUUAUUUUAUAACAACUUACACUCAAGAUUUAUUCCUGAUGAAGAGGAGCAGAGGCUGAUGAAGAGGAGCUGAGGCUGAUGAAGAGGAGCUGGGACUGAUGAAGAUAAGCUGAGGCUGAUGAAGAGGAGCAGAGGCUGAUGAAGAGGAGCUGGGGCUGAUGAAGAGGAGCUGGGGCUGAUGAAGAGGAGCAGAGGCUGAUGAAGAGGAGCAGAGGCUGAUGAAGAUAAGCGGAGGCUGAUGAAGAGGAGCGGAGGCUGAUGAAGAGGAGCUGGGACUCUCAUAGGUCAGGAUUUUAGCUUCAGCUGGUGCAGAUCUCCUUGUGUAAUUUUCGGUCUGCACUAUUCCAGAUGCCCCCUCCCCCUCCCCCCCCCCUCCUCGCCCCCCCAGUCCUCAGAAUUAGAACACUGAGCUUUUUAAUCGUCUUUUCUGCUCAUUGUCCCCGGUUUGAUCCCGUGACCUGGCGGCUUAGUUUCUGUCUGCGAGCCCAAUUUCCUUUUUGUCGAUAAAGGAGUUAAUUUGGAUCAGACGCCUCAGUCAGCGUCCACGUCCUCCGUCUCCUUUGUCCACACAGAGACACACGUACUUCUUCACUCAGAACAUUCUGAGACGUUUUCUACUGUUUGUGAGGCAUCAGGACGACUUCUACGGUCCAGGAGAUCUGAUCAACGGCGCUGCUCCAAACAUGCUGCGCCCAAAGAACAUCUA